rnacentral:rRNA from 1 species
GACGAACCGUGCGAACGUUGUUCGGAAUAACUGGGCUUAAAGGGCGCGUAGGCGGGCCGCCAAGUUCGAGGUGAAAUCCUCCGGCUCAACCGGAGAACUGCCUCGAAUACUGGAGGCCUCGAGGCGGGUAGGGCGUGCGGAACUGUGGGUGGAGCGGUGAAAUGCGUUGAUAUCCACAGGAACUCCGGUGGCGAAGGCGGCACGCUGGACCCGAUCUGACGCUGAGGCGCGGAAAGCCAGGGGAGGCAAACGGG